UAUUUUUUNGUCAAGCGGUUAAGACACCGCCCUUUCACGGCGGUAACACGGGUUCGAAUCCCGUACGGGUCA
rnacentral:tRNA from 1 species